CACGUAGUUAGCCGUGGCUUAUUCAAGGGGUACCGUCUUCCGCUCUUCCCCCUUAAAAGAAGUUUACAACCCGAAAGCCUUCUUCCUUCACGCGGCGUUGCUGGGUCAGACUUGCGCCCAUUGCCCAAUAUUCCCCACUGCUGCCUCCCGUAGGAGUCUGGGCCGUAUCUCAGUCCCAAUGUGGCCGGCCAACCUCUCAGUCCGGCUACUGAUCGUCGCCGUUGGUGGGCCGUUACCUCACCAACUAGCUAAUCAGACGCGAGGCCAUCUUCCAGCGAUAAAUCUUUGACGUCAGAGUCAUGCGGCUCCAACGCAUCAUGCGGUAUUAGCAGUCGUUUCCAACUGUUCGUCCCCCUCUGGAAGGCAGGUUCCUCACGCGUUACUCACCAGUCCGCCACUAAGCAUUCCCAUCCGUUGUCCGAAAACUCCUUCGAGGGUGCUCCGUUCGACUUGCAUGUGUUAAGCACGCCGCCAGCGUUCGUCCUGCGCCAGGACGUACAAACUCUCUCGUAGACUACCGG
rnacentral:rRNA from 1 species